rnacentral:rRNA from 1 species
GAUUGCGAUCAUACCAGCACUAAUGCACCGGAUCCCAUCAGAACUCCGCAGUUAAGCGUGCUUGGGCGAGAGUAGUACUAGGAUGGGUGACCCCCUGGAAGUCCUCGUGUUGCAACCCC